rnacentral:misc_RNA from 1 species
AAUGGAGUCAUCUUAGUAACACUAUGGUAUGAAGAUCUAUACCAUCAUUUUUCCUAGGAAAGCCAUUUUGAUCAGGAAGAAGGCUGCAAAUGUUUCAUACAGAUAUUAUAGUGCUCCAAACACUGAUUCAAACAUUCAAUUUGAUCAUCAGAUUGAGGGUGAUAGGUAGUGCUAAAGGAAAAGGUGGUUCCCAUGCAUUUAAAGAGUUCCUGCCAAAAUAGGCAGGCAAAAAUUUUAUCCCUAUUAGAGACAAUGGAUGGUGGUGCUCCAUGGAGUUUGAAAAUGUUAUCCAAGGAAAGUAUGGCAACUGAGGAAGCAAA